rnacentral:rRNA from 1 species
ACUGAAUAGAUACCCGGGUAGUCCACGCUGUAAACGAUGUUCACUCGCUGUUUGCGAUACACAGUAAAGCGGCUGAGCGAAAGCAUUAAGUGAACCACCUGGGGAGUACGAUCGCAAGGUUGAAACUCAAAGGAAUUGACGGGGGCCCGCACAAGCGGAGGAACAUGUGGUUUAAUUCGAUGAUACGCGAGGAACCUUACCUGGGCUUAAAUGUAGAUUGCAUUUUCGGGAAACCGGAAUUCCCUUCGGGGCUAUUUACAAGGUGCUGCAUGGUUGUCGUCAGCUCGUGCCGUGAGGUGUCGGGUUAAGUCCCAUAACGAGCGCAACCCCUAUCGUUAGUUGCCAGCGGAUAAUGCCGGGGGACUCUAGCGAGACUGCCACCGUAAGGUGAGAGGAAGGUGGGGGAUGACGUCAAAUCAGCACGGCCCUUAUGUCCAGGGCUACACACGUGUUACAAUGGCCGAUACAAAGGGCAGCUACCAGGUGACUGGAUGCUAAUCUCUAAAGUCGGUCCCAGUUCGGAUUGGAGUCUGCAACCCGACUCC